GGCUCAGGAUGAACGCUGGCGGCGUGCCUAAUACAUGCAAGUCGAACGCACAGCGAAAGGUGCUUGCACCUUUCAAGUGAGUGGCGAACGGGUGAGUAACACGUGGACAACCUGCCUCAAGGCUGGGGAUAACAUUUGGAAACAGAUGCUAAUACCGAAUAAAACUUAGUGUCGCAUGACAAAAAGUUAAAAGGCGCUUCGGCGUCACCUAGAGAUGGAUCCGCGGUGCAUUAGUUAGUUGGUGGGGUAAAGGCCUACCAAGACAAUGAUGCAUAGCCGAGUUGAGAGACUGAUCGGCCACAUUGGGACUGAGACACGGCCCAAACUCCUACGGGAGGCUGCAGUAGGGAAUCUUCCACAAUGGGCGAAAGCCUGAUGGAGCAACGCCGCGUGUGUGAUGAAGGCUUUCGGGUCGUAAAGCACUGUUGUAUGGGAAGAACAGCUAGAAUAGGAAAUGAUUUUAGUUUGACGGUACCAUACCAGAAAGGGACGGCUAAAUACGUGCCAGCAGCCGCGGUAAUACGUAUGUCCCGAGCGUUAUCCGGAUUUAUUGGGCGUAAAGCGAGCGCAGACGGUUUAUUAAGUCUGAUGUGAAAGCCCGGAGCUCAACUCCGGAAUGGCAUUGGAAACUGGUUAACUUGAGUGCAGUAGAGGUAAGUGGAACUCCAUGUGUAGCGGUGGAAUGCGUAGAUAUAUGGAAGAACACCAGUGGCGAAGGCGGCUUACUGGACUGCAACUGACGUGAGGCU
rnacentral:rRNA from 1 species